AUUGAACGCUGGCGGCAGGCCUAACACAUGCAAGUCGAGCGAGCGGCGGACGGGUGAGUAAUGUAUGUGGAUCUUCCCGAUAGAGGGGGAUCACUACUGGGAACUGUUGCUAAUACCGCAUACUAUCGCAUGAACCCAUUGGGGAUUAGCGAGUUGGUGGGGUAAAGGCUAACCUAGGCGACGAUCUCUAGCUGGUCUGAGAGGAUGAUCAGCCACACUGGGACUGAGACACGGCCCAGACUCCUACGGGAGGAAGCAGUGGGGAAUAUUGGACAAUGGGCGAAAGCCUGAUGCAGCCAUGCCGCGUGUAUGAAGAAGGCCUUAGGGUUGUAAAGUACUUUCAGCUGGGAGGCGUUACCAGCAGAAGAAGCACCGGCUAACUCCGUGCCAGCAGCCGCGGUAAUUC
rnacentral:rRNA from 1 species